UCUGGUGGCAAUAGUGGAGGGGAAACACCCGUUCCCGUUGCGAACGCGGAAGUUAAGCCCUCCAGCGCCGAUGGUACUUGGGGGGAGAGCCCCUGGGAGAGUGGGUCGCUGCCAGAG
rnacentral:rRNA from 1 species